rnacentral:lncRNA from 1 species
ACUUGUAUAAAAAUUUACUGAUUUUAUAUUUUUAUAAAAAUUAAUCACUCGUUUAGAUUUUGUAUAUUAAAUCUGAAUUUUUAGUAAACUGGCUAAAAUAUGUCCUUAUUUUUCUUUCUCUUUUCUUUCUUUUUCGUUUGUUUUUCGUCUUCCUCUUCGUCUUCCUUCUUUACACCGUUCCUUUAUCUGUAUUUCCUUCCACUUUUUCUCUCUCCUUCUCCUCCCCUGUCUUUAUGUUGACACCACACUCCUCCGUCCUACCUUCUCCAUACCUCCACUGAUGUCUGUUACGGUGACAUGGGCUUAAAUAUAGCACAGAUCAUAAAGGUGAGGUUGUGGCUAAAAAUGUGGUCGUGGACGGCAAUGACGAUAAGAGUACUGUAGGAUUUGAAAAUGACAGAGAGGGAAACAAGUUAGAGGAAAAGGGCAAGGGAGGAAUGCGAUAGUGAAAAUGGAAGCAUCGGGUGAAAGGAAAAGGAGGAGGAAAAAGAAAAAAAAAAUAUUUAUUUCUUCUUCGGAAGGUCAUCAUAUAUCGUAAUCGCUACAGAAAAGAGUACGAAACAGAAGAAAAGAAAAAUUAUACUAUUUAAGAUUAAGUUGUACCAUUUAAAAUUAUUUGAGGCGAAGUUGCACUAUAAAAAAUAAAAAUAUAUUGUCUGAGACUAAGUUGUACUGUUUGAAACUUUAAGUUACAUUGUUUGAGAAGUUGUAACUUAGUUUCAAAUAGUUUUAAAUGGUACAACUUAAUUUUUAAAUAGUAUAAUUUAGUCUCAAGCAUUAUGACUUUUAUUUUUUAUGAUGCAACUUAUUAUAUUUUUUUUAAAAUUUUUUCUUUUCUUUUUCUUUCACCAUCUGCAUCAUUUCA